rnacentral:rRNA from 1 species
UAUACGACCGUACCGCAAACCGACACUGGUGCGCGAGAUGAGUAUUCUAAGGCGCUUGAGAGAACUCAGGAGAAGGAACUCGGCAAAUUGACACCGUAACUUCGGAAGAAGGUGUGCCCUAUUAGUGUGAAGUGAACAACGGAGCAUGAAUGGGUUGCAAAAAAUCGGUGGCUGCGACUGUUUAUUAAAAACACAGCACUCUGCAAACACGAAAGUGGACGUAUAGGGUGUGACGCCUGCCCGGUGCUGGAAGAUUAAAUGAUGGGGUGCAAGCUCUUGAUUGAAGUCCCAGUAAACGGCGGCCGUAACAAUAACGGUCCUAAGGUAGCGAAAUUCCUUGUCGGGUAAGUUCCGACCUGCACGAAUGGCGUAACGAUGGCCACACUGUCUCCUCCUGAGACUCAGCGAAGUUGAAAUGUUUGUGAUGAUGCAAUCUCCCCGCGGAAAGACGGAAAGACCCCAUGAACCUUUACUGUAGCUUUGUAUUGGACUUUGAACAGAUCUGUGUAGGAUAGGUGGGAGGCUUUGAAGCAGGGUCGCUAGAUCUUGUGGAGCCAACGUUGAAAUACCACCCUGGUGUGUUUGAGGUUCUAACCUAGGUCCAUUAUCUGGAUCGGGGACAGUGCAUGGUAGGCAGUUUGACUGGGGCGGUCUCCUCCCAAAGCGUAACGGAGGAGUUCGAAGGUACGCUAGUUACGGUCGGACAUCGUGACGAUAGUGCAAUGGCAUAAGCGUGCUUAACUGCGAGACUGACAAGUCGAGCAGAUGCGAAAGCAGGACAUAGUGAUCCGGUGGUUCUGUAUGGAAGGGCCAUCGCUCAACGGAUAAAAGGUACUCUGGGGAUAACAGGCUGAUACCGCCCAAGAGUUCAUAUCGACGGCGGUGUUUGGCACCUCGAUGUCGGCUCAUCUCAUCCUGGGGCUGUAGCCGGUCCCAAGGGUAUGGCUGUUCGCCAUUUAAAGAGGUACGUGAGCUGGGUUUAAAACGUCGUGAGACAGUUUGGUCCCUAUCUUCCGUGGGCGCUGCAGAUUUGAGGAAGCCUGCUCCUAGUACGAGAGGACCGGAGUGGACACACCUCUGGUGUAUCGGUUGUCACGCCAGUGGCAUUGCCGAGUAGCUAAGUGUGGAAGAGAUAACCGCUGAAAGCAUCUAAGCGGGAAACUCGUUUCAAGAUGAGAUCUGCCGGGGCCUUGAGCCCCCUGAAGAGUCGUUCAAGACCAGGACGUUGAUAGGUCAGGUGUGGAAGC